rnacentral:tRNA from 1 species
GCCUGGGUGGCUCAGUCGGUUGAGCGUCCGACUUCAGCUCAGGUCACGAUCUCGCGGUCCGUGAGUUUGAGCCCCGCAUCAGGCU